rnacentral:rRNA from 1 species
CCUACGGGAGGCAGCAGUGGGGAAUUUUGGACAAUGGGCGCAAGCCUGAUCCAGCCAUGCCGCGUGUGGGAAGAAGGCCUUCGGGUUGUAAACCACUUUUGUCAGGGAAGAAACGGUCUGAACUAAUACUUUGGACUAAUGACGGUACCUGAAGAAUAAGCACCGGCUAACUACGUGCCAGCAGCCGCGGUAAUACGUAGGGUGCAAGCGUUAAUCGGAAUUACUGGGCGUAAAGCGUGCGCAGGCGGCUUUGCAAGACAGAUGUGAAAUCCCCGGGCCCAACCUGGGAACUGCAUUUGUGACUGCAUGGCUAGAGUACGGUAGAGGGGGAUGGAAUUCCGCGUGUAGCAGUGAAAUGCGUAGAUAUGCGGAGGAACACCGAUGGCGAAGGCAAUCCCCUGGACCUGUACUGACGCUCAUGCACGAAAGCGUGGGGAGCAAACAGGAUUAGAUACCCUGGUAGUCCACGCCCUAAACGAUGUCAACUGGUUNUUGGGAGGGUUUCUUCUCAGUAACGAAGCUAACGCGUGAAGUUGACCGCCUGGGGAUACGGCCGCAGGUUGAAACUCAAAUGAAUUGACGG